UCCCUGGUGGUCCAGUGGCUGAGACUUUGGACUCCCAAUGCAGGGGGCUCAGGUUCAAUCCCUGGUCAGGGAA
rfam:TPA: Bos taurus chromosome 24, whole genome shotgun sequence.